UACGUAGGGUGCAAGCGUUGUCCGGAAUUAUUGGGCGUAAAGAGCUCGUAGGCGGUUUGUUGCGUCGGCUGUGAAAUCCCGAGGCUCAAACCUCGGGUCUCGCAGUCGAUACGAGCAAACUAGAGUGUUGGCAGGGGAGACUGGAAUUCCUGGUGUAGCGGUGAAAUGACGCAGAUAUCAGGCAGGAACACCGGUGGCGAAGGCGGGGUCACUGGGCGAACAACUGACGCUGAGGAGCGAAAGCGUGGGGGAGCGAACAGG
rnacentral:rRNA from 1 species